rnacentral:rRNA from 1 species
UACGGAGGGUGCAAGCUUUAUCCGGAUUCACUGGGUUUAAAGGGUGCGUAGGAGGGCAGGUAAGUCAGUGGUGAAAUCUCCAAGCUUAACUUGGAAACUGCCGUUGAUACUAUCUGUCUUGAAUACCGUGGAGGUGAGCGGAAUAUGUCAUGUAGCGGUGAAAUGCUUAGAUAUGACAUAGAACACCAAUUGCGAAGGCAGCUCGCUACACGAAUAUUGACUCUGAGGCACGAAAGCGUGGGGAUCAAACAGG